rnacentral:misc_RNA from 1 species
GAUGAAGAACGUAGCGAAAUGCGAUAAGUAAUGUGAAUUGCAGAAUUCAGUGAAUCAUCGAAUCUUUGAACGCACAUUGCGCCCUCUGGUAUUCCGGGGGGCAUGCCUGUUCGAGCGUCAUUAUAACCACUCAAGCUCUCGCUUGGUAUUGGGGUUCGCGGUUCCGCGGCCCCUAAAAUCAGUGGCGGUGCCUGUCGGCUCUACGCGUAGUAAUACUCCUCGCGAGUGAGUCCGGUAGGUCUACUUGCCAGCAACCCCCAAUUUUUACAGGUUGACCUCGGAUCAGGUAGGGAUACCCGCUGAACUUAAGCAUAUCAAUAAGCGGAGGA